rnacentral:misc_RNA from 1 species
UUUAGCAACACUGAUAUCAGAGUUAAUCAAAAGCCUUAACAAAAUUUAAGCCAAAGGAAAGAAGGGGCUAUUUUACCAUUUUUCAAUUUUUUUGGUUAUUUGUAACGAAUUGACAGUCACCAAUGGCUGUAAUAUUGUUAUUAGGGAUGUAUUUUUGAUGGUCAGGAGAAGGAAAACUACAAUUUUUUUAGAUGCUAAGGAGACAACUCCUGUACUGGAGAUGAAGAGAAUGAUAGAGGGAAUUACAAAAGUUU